rnacentral:hammerhead_ribozyme from 1 species
AUUCAUCUGAUGAGUCCCAAAUAGGACAAAACGCGUGUCCUGGAU